GAAGCGGAGAAGGACUACGUCUUUGACAAAAGGCUCAGGUACAGUGUCCGCCAGAAUGAAAGCAACUGUCGGUUUCGAGACAUCGUCGUGCGGAAGGAAGAAGGGUUCACGCACAUCCUGCUGUCCAGUCAGACCUCGGAUAACAAUGCACUGACACCUGAGGGAGCUGAGGACGGUAACCAGCAUGCAUAAAAACUUGACUGCAGCGUGCAAUUUGCUCAUCAUUUUACAUACAUUAUCCCAUUUGAUUUUUAUGACCAUGUAAUGAUACCCUCUCAUCUUAUGGAUGAAGACCAUGGGGAGAGGGACUCACUGAACUGAUCGUGGACACAGACUUAGCCAAGGGGCAGACCCAGAAUCCAAAUGUCACAUCUUGGGCUUUUCCAGCUAUACUUUGUUGUUAUCAGCAUGUCAUAUUUGUUUGCUGCAGAUAUAAUUCACUCAGUUAAUGUA
rnacentral:sRNA from 1 species